ensembl:misc_RNA Y_RNA Y RNA
GGCUGGUCCAAUGGUAGUGGGUUAUCAGAACUCAUUAACAUUAGUGUCACUGAAGUUGAUAUACAACCCUCAACUGCUAAAUUUGACUGGCUUAAA